CAGAAGCCUAGAUAAAGAAACAAGAUUUCAGGCAGGAAGAAAUAAUAAAGAGGCAGGACUUCAAGUGUCCUGUGAAACACAACAUUCGGCCUCCGGCACACACAUCCGUGGGAGACGGCUCAACUUCUUUAUAAAGUGAGGAACCAAAUUGUGAAGACAUCUGUUCUGUUAUUAAUUUCACAUACAUCUUAAGCUCCUCAAGGCCAGAAAUGAGGCUUCAUUCACGUCGAAUUAAUGAAACAUGAUUCAGCUACAUUUUCACCCCAUCCCGGGCUCCAUGUUCCUGCUGCACACACAUCAAGAAUGCUGCUAAUUUCAGCGUCUGCCUUCCAGACCCAGACGUCAAAACAACUACCUUUCAUCUCAGGUUUGUAACACAGAAAACCUUCAAUAUUGGGAACAGAUAACCUCGAAGGUGGGUUCAUAUCUCUCAGCACGAUUGCUGUAACUUAACUCUGCUGCACCCGAUCAAGGCUUUCUCUCUGCCUCAUAGGUAUUUUAAUACAAAUGUUCCUUUCAUUUGGCUGAUUGAAGGUCUCCAACCUGCAAUAAAUGAAACAUCUGAUCCCCUUGAAUCCAAAUAACUUUUUCUU
ensembl:lncRNA MMP2-AS1 MMP2 antisense RNA 1